rnacentral:rRNA from 1 species
GAUGAACGCUGGCGGCGUGCUUAACACAUGCAAGUCGAACGGAAAGGCUCCUGCUUGCCGGGGUACUCGAGUGGCGAACGGGUGAGUAACACGUGGGUGAUCUGCCCUGCACUUCGGGAUAAGCCUGGGAAACUGGGUCUAAUACCGGAUAGGACCACAUUUUGGAUGGUGUGGUGGAAAGUUUUUCGGUGUGGGAUGAGCUCGCGGCCUAUCAGCUUGUUGGUGGGGUAAUGACCUACCAAGGCGUCGACGGGUAGCCGGCCUGAGAGGGUGUACGGCCACAUUGGGACUGAGAUACGGCCCAGACUCCUACGGGAGGCAGCAGUGGGGAAUAUUGCACAAUGGGCGCAAGCCUGAUGCAGCGACGCCGCGUGGGGGAUGACGGCCUUCGGGUUGUAAACUCCUUUCGCUAGGGACGAAGCGCAAGUGACGGUACCUGGAGAAGAAGCACCGGCUAACUACGUG